rnacentral:lncRNA from 1 species
AGAGCUCCGCGCUAUUCCCAAUUGUUCCUCAUUCCAUUUGCUUCUCUAUUAUGAGAAUCAUAGAAAGAUUCACCGCCACUCUUCAACGAGGCCCAUUCAACUCCACAAUCCAGAUCCGUUUCAAGAAACCCGCCAACACGGCUCAGACCCGUUUAGAGACUCGUGCUCGGGACCCGAAACUCGACCUCCUCACAUUCCACCACCGCCGGCUUGAACUCGUUCUGAGCAUCCACAAGCUCAUCUCCGCCAAGAAACGUGGGCCAUUUGUCUCCGUACAGCUCCUCUCCAGAUGGGCUCCACACGCCGGAAUCGAUACCGUAACUGCUGGCGCUUUUAUACGGAAAUAUCCCCAUGUGUUCGAGGUAUUUACGCACCCGAUUCAGCGAAAUGUUUGCUGUAAAUUUACGCCGAAAUUUAUCGAAUUGUUAAAGCGAGAAGUUGAAAUUUUAUGUGAAAUGGAAGAUAUUAAUGUGGUUAAGAUAAGAAAGCUAUUAAUGAUGUCUGUGAAUGGGAAAAUUCAUUUACAUGCAAUUAGAUUGAUUAGGAGAGAACUGGGUUUGCCUGAAGAUUUUAGAGAGUCCAUUAUUCGAAAAUAUGAUAAUGUUUUUAGAUUAUUUGAUUUGGAGAUAAUGGAAUUGGUUGAUAGGAAUGAAAAUAAUGAGAGUUCGAGUUAUGUGGCGGAUGUUGAGAUGUGGAGAGAAAAGGAGUAUAGAGAGAAAUGGUUAAGUGAAUUCGAGACAAAAUAUGCAUUUCCAAUUAAUUUCCCAACAGGGUUUAUGAUAGUUCCAGGAUUUAGGGAGAAACUAAGGAAUUGGCAAAGGCUUACGUAUGUGAAGCCGUAUGAAAGAAUGAAAAAUGUUAGCAUCCGUAGUUUUGGAGGAGUUGAAAGGUACGAAAAGCAAGCAGUGGGUAUUUUUCACGAGCUCUUGUGCUUGACGGUUGAGAAAAAGGUGGAGGUAGAGAGAUUGGCGCAUUUUCGGAAGGAUCUUGGUGUUGAGGUUAACAUACGCGAGCUUCUUUUGAAACAUCCGGGGAUUUUUUAUAUUUCGACUAGAGGGAACACACAAAUGGUUUAUCUUAGGGAAGCAUAUGAUAAAGGGUGUUUGGUAGAACCAAAUCCGGUAUAUGACGUGAGGAGGAAAAUGUUGGAGCUUAUCUUAUUGGGGUGUCGUAAUACUGAAGAAUUGAGAGAGUGGUCAGAAGUUGAGGAUAGAAGAAAGUGUGUAAUGAAAAUGAACUUGGCAUGAGAGAUGGUGAUUUUGUUAUUCCAAUUUUAGAGAGCUUUCCCAACGGCAAGAUAUGACUAUCAUCCCAGCAAGAGUGGUGAUUCAUCGGAAGUGGUGUUUGAUGAGCUUUAUGAGAAGGAAAUCAAUGAUGAGACAGGUCUUUAAGAAUGAUAUGGAUUCUUUGUGGAAUAAUGAUUUAUGAUCACAACCGGACUUCUUUCUGCCAUUGGCUGCCUGAGACAAAUGGACUGGAAUCUAAUAGGUUCUUGACUGCUAUAUUUACGCGGCAUGCAUCCUCUCUUUAUGCACCUGUUCUCAGUUCUCACAGAUAAUGAGGUUCUUGCUUUGUCCUUUCCCACACUAUAGAUUUUGUCGAACAGGUGUGGUGACAUGAAAUAAGCUUGGGAAGCCUCUUUUGUAAUUCUAAUACUAUAAUGUUGGCCUUUGGCUGCAGAGACCAGAGAAUUUGGUAUUCUGACAUUGAUGGGUGUUGCUUAUUUCAGGUAAAGAUUGUCAUUUGUUUCCUUUAUGCGAUUGCCAUUUUUCCUAAGGCUACUGGAGAUGAUGAACUGACCUGGAUUCACAGGAUUCAAGUGAUCUAGGCAAGUAUGACCACAUUUUUCUUGUCCAAAUUAUCAAUUAUGUUUCACUUUUUUCAGUAUUAUAUAUCAGGCAAUCUUUGCAAUGCUUAUUUUUUGCAGCAUUCUUUCCCAAAAUUUUGUCUGGUGCAAAUCAUAAACAAUGAUAAUAUAGGAUCAGUAAUGGUGAUGAACAAUGUAUUAGAAGAUUAAAUUUCAACCUUGGCAAGGAAAAUAUAUGACACGUGUGUGUGUGUGUGUGUGAGAGAGAGAGAGAGAGAUGACAUUUUUUUUUCAAGUGAUUCUUUACUUGGGCCCUUAGAUUCUAUUCUAGUCUACUAAUGCUGUUGUGUGGAUUUCUGAGCGAAGGAAAACUAGGUUUCUCUCAGAAUCACGACAAAACCCGAAUUGCUCUCAUGGAGAUUGAGAUUAACAUGCUACAAUGUUUGAACAAAGUUCCAGCACGGGUUUCAGGGAAGCCAUCUCUUGUUGUUUGAGCUCCAUUAAUCUUUUGUCACACAAAAUCUCAGAGAAAAUGACUGUUGCAUUGACGAGGAGCUUGCUGGGAGCAUCCCCUGUAACAAUUGACAUUUAGUGCAAAGUGUUGCAAAGUAUGUAAACUGAAUCUUGGCUGCAAAUAUGUGGGAGGAUAGCAUGAAGAAAAUGUAGUGCAUUCUCUGCAAAUUUUUGCAAUUUGUUUUUUAUUUUUUCUUUAUUUUUGUUUAUUUAAAGAGGUUGG